UACGUAGGUGACAAGCGUUGUCCGGAUUUACUGGGCGUAAAGAGCGCGCAGGCGGUCGAUCAAGUCGAGUGUGAAAGCCCCCGGCUCAACUGGGGAGGGUCAUUCGAAACUGGUCGACUCGAAGGCAGGAGAGGGUAGUGGAAUUCCCGGUGUAGUGGUGAAAUGCGUAGAUAUCGGGAGGAACACCAGUGGCGAAGGCGACUACCUGGCCUGUUCUUGACGCUGAGGCGCGAAAGCUAGGGGAGCAAACGGC
rnacentral:rRNA from 1 species